AAAAAGUAUUCCAUACCAUCUUACACCACAUCUGAGAUUUUGUGCUGUUCCUGUCAGCCACUGUACACCCCUUUCAUGUCUAUGGAAUUGUUACUGUACACCAGCCAAAAAAGUAGGAAAGAAAUAUAUAAUAUUUUUGCUACUGGAUUCCAGUAGUUUUUCCAACUACAAGUUUAAAUGUUAACCGUGUUGCAAAUUCUUAUUAAGUCUUCCAGGAAACAUUUCAUUUUCUUUGAAAAGGAGGAUAAAACAAACAAACAAAACCCCAUCCUUGGGUAAUUCAGUGCUAUAAAGCUUUUGUGCAAAGAUACGAUCAUUAAGCCUCAGAAGGAGAAUUAAAAUAAGCACUCUAACUUAGCUAUUCUUUCUUUUAUAAACUGAUAUCCUUUUAUUGCUUUUGUGGCACUAGGGAGGAAAGCUGCCUGCCACCUGCCUUCCAAGGAACUGCCAGCUUUACCUGGAGAAAAUAGCCCAUCUGCUAAGUUAUACAGCUCUUUCAUUCUUCAGCCCAGGUUACUGGUGAAGAUUUUAUAUGUACAGCCUUGUUUUUAAUACUUCCAGCUGUUCAUUUUUCCUGUGAAAGGAAAUCCCUGGAUAGAGACACAACAAUCCUGAAGCUUUGUGUCUUGUUAUAUAAAUAUUGCUGGAAGGAUUCAUUAAGACACCAUAAAAUACUAGGGGAGGAAGGAGAGGAAAAAAAAAAAAAAGACCUGGUUUUCCUG
rnacentral:lncRNA from 1 species